UACGUAGGGGGCUAGCGUUGUCCGGAAUCAUUGGGCGUAAAGAGCGUGUAGGCGGUCCGGUAAGUCCGCUGUGAAAGUCGGGGGCUCAACCCUCGAAUGCCGGUGGAUACUGUCGGGCUAGAGUGCGGAAGAGGCGAGUGGAAUUCCUGGUGUAGCGGUGAAAUGCGCAGAUAUCAGGAGGAACACCCGUGGCGAAGGCGG
rnacentral:rRNA from 1 species